rnacentral:rRNA from 1 species
AUGCACGCUGGCGGCGUGCCUCAUCCAUGCAAGUCGCGCGAACAGACGAGGAGCUUGCUCCUCUGACGUUAGCGGCGGACGGGUGAGUAACACGUGGAUAACCUACCUAUAAGACUGGGAUAACUUCGGGAAACCGGAGCUAAUACCGGAUAAUAUAUUGAACCGCAUGGUUCAAUAGUGAAAGACGGUUUUGCUGUCACUUAUAGAUGGAUCCGCGCCGCAUUAGCUAGUUGGUAAGGUAACGGCUUACCAAGGCAACGAUGCGUAGCCGACCUGAGAGGGUGAUCGGCCACACUGGAACUGAGACACGGUCCAGACUCCUACGGGAGGCAGCAGUAGGGAAUCUUCCGCAAUGGGCGAAAGCCUGACGGAGCAACGCCGCGUGAGUGAUGAAGGUCUUCGGAUCGUAAAACUCUGUCAUUAGGGAAGAACAAAUGUGUAAGUAACUAUGCACGUCUUGACGGUACCUAAUCAGAAAGCCACGGCUAACUACGUG